CUAAAAUAGAAGCUGAUGAUGAUGAUGCUGAAAAAUGACGAGGAUUGGACUGUUUUGGUGGAGUCCGGUGACGGCGGAGAGGUGAGAGAGAGAAGCACAGAGACGAGAUAGAGAGAGAGACUGGAGAGAAGGAGAGAGAGAGAGACCGAGGUUGGGAGCAACGCCGCCGCUCACGGCGGCGGCAGUGAGGGGCGACGACGGUGUUUCUAAUGCCCGUCGAAUUUCCGGCUACUGUUGAUGUUGAAGAUGAUGAUGUUUUGGUUUGGGUUUUCACGGGUUUCAUCGGUCAAAUCCAGCAGGUUCGGUUCUUAGAAGUUUCGGUUCGGGUCAAGCUGUUUUGGGUCAGAUUAUGGUCUCGGCUCAGGGCGGGUUUGGUUCGGUCAACCACGGGUCUUGGGUCUGGUUCGGGUUUGCUUCGGUUCCUUUUAUUUCCUGAAGAAUGAAAGUGAUGUUGAUCUUGUUGUGGCUGAUGUUAUUUAGCUCAAAUCUGAGUUAUGUUCGGUUCGAGAUUUACUUUCGGCUCGAGUUCAGGGUUUAAACCGAUCAGCUCAGUUUCGUUUGGGUCUCGGUUCGGAAAGGCAGCGGCGGCGGUCAACUCCGACGAGUGCCGCACACUCGCCCGUUCAAAACCCUUUGGUCAGUCUUUUAUGCCACUGUUUGUGUUUUUGUGUUUGUCAACGGAUUAUGUAUGAUGGUUCUUUACUAAAUGAUUAAAUGUUGAAAUAUUUGUGAAAGUGUUAA